rnacentral:rRNA from 1 species
UGGGGAAUUUUGGUCAAUGGGGGAAACCCUGAUCCAGCCAUCCCGCGUGUGCGAUGAAGGCCUUCGGGUUGUAAAGCACUUUUGGCAGGAAAGAAACGUCAUGGGUUAAUACCCCGUGAAACUGACGGUACCUGCAGAAUAAGCACCGGCUAACUACGUGCCAGCAGCCGCGGUAAUACGUAGGGUGCAAGCGUUAAUCGGAAUUACUGGGCGUAAAGCGUGCGCAGGCGGUUCGGAAAGAAAGAUGUGAAAUCCCAGAGCUCAACUUUGGAACUGCAUUUUUAACUACCGGGCUAGAGUGUGUCAGAGGGAGGUGGAAUUCCGCGUGUAGCAGUGAAAUGCGUAGAUAUGCGGAGGAACACCGAUGGCGAAGGCAGCCUCCUGGGAUAACACUGACGCUCAUGCACGAAAGCGUGGGGAGCAAACAGG